rnacentral:tRNA from 1 species
GGUCUGCUAGCUCAGUUGGUUAGAGCGUCGUACUAAUAUUCUUCCAAUAGAAUUUAAGUGAUGCGAAGGUCAUGAGUUCGACCCUCAUGUGGACCA